CUGUCAAUCAGUUGGCUGUGCUUUUUGGACUUGGAUUAGGCGACCAGCAGCAGCAGCAGCAGCAACAACAGCAAUCGCAGCAGCAGCCGCUCUACUUGCAACGUAUUGUUAUUCUGUUAUAACCAAAAACAGCUGUUUUGCCUAACAUGUGUGCCUGUCUAUGUCUAUAUCUGUAUGAGUGUGUGGGUUUGUG